rnacentral:rRNA from 1 species
GAUGAACGCUGGCGGCGUGCCUAAUACAUGCAAGUCGAGCGAACAGACGAGGAGCUUGCUCCUCUGACGUUAGCGGCGGACGGGUGAGUAAAACGUGGAUAACCUACCUAUAAGACUGGGAUAAUUUCGGGAAACCGGAGCUAAUACCGGAUAAUAUAUCGAACCGCAUGGUUCAAUAGUGAAAGACGGUUUUGCUGUCACUUAUAGAUGGAUCCGCGCCGCAUUAGCUAGUUGGUAAGGUAACGGCUUACCAAGGCAACGAUGCGUAGCCGACCUGAGAGGGUGAUCGGCCACACUGGAACUGAGACACGGUCCAGACUCCUACGGGAGGCAGCAGUAGGGAAUCUUCCGCAAUGGGCGAAAGCCUGACGGAGCAACGCCGCGUGAGUGAUGAAGGCCUUCGGAUCGUAAAACUCUGUUAUUAGGGAAGAACAGAUGUGGAAGUAACUAUGCACGUCUUGACGGUACCUAAUCAGAAAGCCACGGCUAACUACGUG